AACGCUAGCUACAGGCUUAACACAUGCAAGUCGAGGGGCAGCAUGAACUUAGCUUGCUAAGUUUGAUGGCGACCGGCGCACGGGUGAGUAACACGUAUCCAACCUGCCGAUGACUCGGGGAUAGCCUUUCGAAAGAAAGAUUAAUACCCGAUGGCAUAGUUCUUCCGCAUGGUAGAACUAUUAAAGAAUUUCGGUCAUCGAUGGGGAUGCGUUCCAUUAGGUUGUUGGCGGGGUAACGGCCCACCAAGCCUUCGAUGGAUAGGGGUUCUGAGAGGAAGGUCCCCCACAUUGGAACUGAGACACGGUCCAAACUCCUACGGGAGGCAGCAGUGAGGAAUAUUGGUCAAUGGACGAGAGUCUGAACCAGCCAAGUAGCGUGAAGGAUGAAGGCUCUAUGGGUCGUAAACUUCUUUUAUAUGGGAAUAAAGUUUUCCACGUGUGGAAUUUUGUAUGUACCAUAUGAAUAAGGAUCGGCUAACUCCGUGCCAGCAGCCGCGGUAAUACGGAGGAUCCGAGCGUUAUCCGGAUUUAUUGGGUUUAAAGGGAGCGUAGAUGGAUGUUUAAGUCAGUUGUGAAAGUUUGCGGCUCAACCGUAAAAUUGCAGUUGAUACUGGAUAUCUUGAGUGCAGUUGAGGCAGGCGGAAUUCGUGGUGUAGCGGUGAAAUGCUUAGAUAUCACGAAGAACUCCGAUUG
rnacentral:rRNA from 1 species